rnacentral:rRNA from 1 species
UACGGAGGGUGCGAGCGUUGUCCGGAAUCACUGGGCGUAAAGGGCACGUAGGCGGCCGUGUAAGUCACUUGUGAAAUCCCGGGGCUCAACUCCGGGGCUGCAGGUGAGACUGCAUGGCUAGAGCUUGGUAGAGGCGAGUGGAAUUCCCGGUGUAGCGGUGGAAUGCGUAGAUAUCGGGAAGAACACCGGUGGCGAAGGCGGCUCGCUGGGCCAAUGCUGACGCUGAGGCGCGAAAGCGUGGGGAGCAAACAGG